rnacentral:tRNA from 1 species
GCGGAUAUGGCGGAAUUGGCAGACGCGCUAGAUUUAGGUUCUAGUGGGAAUAUCCGUGCAGGUUCAACUCCUGUUAUCCGCA